rnacentral:rRNA from 1 species
GCGGCAGGCUUAACACAUGCAAGUCGAACGCACCGCAAGGUGAGUGGCAGACGGGUGAGUAACACGUGGGAACGUACCCUUUUGUUCGGAAUAACCCUGGGAAACUAGGGCUAAUACCGGAUACGCCCUAACGGGGAAAGGUUUACUGCAGAAGGAUCGGCCCGCGUCCGAUUAGUUUGUUGGUGGGGUAAUGGCCUACUAAGGCUUCGAUCGGUAGCUGGUCUGAGAGGAUGACCAGCCACAUUGGGACUGAGACACGGCCCAAACUCCUACGGGAGGCAGCAGUGGGGAAUAUUGGACAAUGGGCGCAAGCCUGAUCCAGCCAUGCCGCGUGAGUGAUGAAGGCCUUAGGGUUGUAAAGCUCUUUUACCUGGGAAGAUCAUGACGGUACCAGGAGAAUAAGCCCCGGCUAACUUCGUGCCAGCAGCCGCGGUAAUACGAAGGGGGCUAGCGUUGUUCGGAUUUACUGGGCGUAAAGGGCGCGUAGGCGGGCUGAUAAGUCAGGGGUGAAAUCCCAAGGCUCAACCUUGGAACUGCCUUUGAUACUGUUGGCCUUGAGUCCGGGAGAGGUGAGUGGAACUGCGA